ACUAGCAGUUCCAUAGCAGGGCUGAGCCUGGCCAGUAGUUGGAUGGUAGACCAUCUGGGGAAAGCUAAGGUUGCUGCUGGAA
rnacentral:rRNA from 1 species